AUUGAACGCUAGCGGCAGGCCUAACACAUGCAAGUCGAGGGGUAGAAGUUUUCGGACUUUGAGACCGGCGCACGGGUGCGUAACGCGUAUGCAAUCUGCCUUACACUAAGGGAUAGCCCAGAGAAAUUUGGAUUAAUACCUUAUAGUAUAUUGAUGUGGCAUCACAUUAUUAUUAAAGAUUUAUUGGUGUAAGAUGAGCAUGCGUCCCAUUAGCUAGUUGGUAUGGUAACGGCAUACCAAGGCUAUGAUGGGUAGGGGUCCUGAGAGGGAGAUCCCCCACACUGGUACUGAGACACGGACCAGACUCCUACGGGAGGCAGCAGUGAGGAAUAUUGGUCAAUGGGCGCAAGCCUGAACCAGCCAUGCCGCGUGCAGGAUGAAGCAUCUAUGGUGUGUAAACUGCUUUUGUACGGGAAGAAACACCUCUACGUGUAGAGGCUUGACGGUACCGUAAGAAUAAGGAUCGGCUAACUCCGUGCCAGCAGCCGCCGUAACAC
rnacentral:rRNA from 1 species